CCAUAUACAUGGUUUUAUCUUUCUGUGUUUGUGUAGGUAAGCAGUAAUGGGGAAGAUGAGCAAAGUGACGAUGAUUUUAGCACUGGGAACUAUUUCUGUGCUGAGAAUCGAAAAAACAGAAUCAGAAAAUGGAGAUGAACAACCAUUUUACGAGAUUAUGGAAUACUCACUUGAGCAAGAAAUUAUGGGCACCUCGUGUUUUGCAGAGACUGCGAGGUUUCUUUAGUUAAAAGCCUCGGCCUUGGACCUUCACCAUGGCCAAAAGGUGGUGAGGACCUUUUUCAAACAUAAUAAUAUUUGAGGGUGAGGCUUUAUAACAAAACAACUUUACGUGGAUUAAAUGACCUCAUUGGUUGUAAGAAGAGUCCGAGAAUAAUGACUGUAUACUAUUUUGUUUUUAUUGUUGUUUUUCUGUAAUAUUUUGGAAAAAGGGAUUUUUCUGUAAUAUUUUGAAAAAAAGGGAUAGAGAAAACCCUAAACUUGGGUUAUGCUAUGUGAAUUUUUAUGCAUUGAAAU